UAAUAUUUAUUGUAUAAGCAUUUUAAAUUUUGAGUUUAAAGGAGUAGAUUAAUUUCUAUAAUAUUGA
rnacentral:tRNA from 1 species